AACGAACGCUGGCGGCAGGCCUAACACAUGCAAGUCGAGCGCCCCGCAAGGGGAGCGGCGGACGGGUGAGUAACGCGUGGGAAUAUGCCCUUUGCUACGGAAUAGUCUCGGGAAACUGGGGGUAAUACCGUAUACGCCCUUUGGGGGGAAAGAUUUAUCGGCGAAGGAUUAGCCCGCGUUGGAUUAGGUAGUUGGUGGGGUAAUGGCCUACCAAGCCGACGAUCCAUAGCUGGUUUGAGAGGAUGAUCAGCCACACUGGGACUGAGACACGGCCCAGACUCCUACGGGAGGCAGCAGUGGGGAAUCUUAGACAAUGGGGGCAACCCUGAUCUAGCCAUGCCGCGUGAGUGAUGAAGGCCUUAGGGUUGUAAAGCUCUUUCAGCUGGGAAGAUAAUGACGGUACCAGCAGAAGAAGCCCCGGCUAACUCCGUG
rnacentral:rRNA from 1 species